rnacentral:sRNA from 1 species
UCUCAAAUCAGAUUUUAUUUUAUAAUUGACAUUGCAAAAAAGUCCGACCAAUUUCUACCAAGAAUUUAGUUCGAAAUUGGUUAGACCAUUUUUGAUCGAAUCAUGAAUUGCUAUGUUUAAUAAAUUAACUACCCAAG